AUGAAGAUACUGGCAUGGAAUUGCAAUGGCCUCCGGAAGGCCCCGGCAGUCCGUGCCCUACUGGACGUCCAACGGAGUUGUAACCCAGAUGUCAUGUUUUUGUCCGAGACACACUUAGAAAGCUAUCCGGCAGAGUGUUUGAGAAAACGUUUAAAGAUGGAUCGGAAACUUGUAUGUGCCGGCGAUGGAAGAAAAGGAGGGCUGCUUUUGCUAUGGAAGAAAGAGGUGAAAAUACACAUACUACAUCUUGACCCCAUGUUCAUUGAUGUGCGAGUAGAGGGCCAGAAUAAUGAGUGGAGGCUUACUGGGAUGUAUGGUGAAUUCAGAUGGGAAAACAAGUACAAAACUUGGGACAGAAUGCGUCAGAUACACCAAAGUAAUAAUCUACCAUGGCUACUGGUAGGGGAUCUGAAUGAAAUCCAAUUCCUUAGUGAGAAAGAAGGGGGAAAUCCUAGGCCACCUCAAUACAUGCAAGCGUUCCAGAAUGCCAUUGACGACUGUGGCCUGAGGGAUUUGGGCUACAUUGGGGAUCGAUUUACUUGGCAGAGGGGGCGUAUACGGGAGAGACUUGAUCGAGGAUUGAUCAAUGAUGGCUGGGCAAACAUGUUUCCAGCGGCUGCGCUACAGAAUAUGCACUAUAACCAUUCUGACCACCGUCCACUCUGUGUGGACACAGAAUACUUUACUCAUGUGACCAGAGAGUUAAACAAUAUGCAUAAUUCUUUCCAUGAUUGGGACCAGAGUUUUGAAGCGCGCUGGUUACGGGAACAUGAGUUCUCAGAUAUAGUUUAA
rnacentral:rRNA from 1 species